rnacentral:rRNA from 1 species
UACGUAGGUGGCAAGCGUUGUCCGGAAUUAUUGGGCGUAAAGUGCGCGCAGGUGGUUCCUUAAGUCUGAUGUGAAAGCCCACGGCUCAACCGUGGAGGGUCAUUGGAAACUGGGGAACUUGAGUGCAGAAGAGGAAAGUGGAAUUCCAAGUGUAGCGGUGAAAUGCGUAGAGAUUUGGAGGAAUACCAGUGGCGAAGGCGACUUUCUGGUCUGUAACUGACACUGAGGCGCGAAAGCGUGGGGAGCAAACAGG